rnacentral:rRNA from 1 species
GGAUUAGAUACCCUGGUAGUCCACGCCGUAAACGAUGAGUGCUAGGUGUUGGAUCCUUUCCGGGAUUCAGUGCCGCAGCUAACGCAUUAAGCACUCCGCCUGGGGAGUACGACCGCAAGGUUGAAACUCAAAGGAAUUGACGGGGGCCCGCACAAGCGGUGGAGCAUGUGGUUUAAUUCGAUGCAACGCGAAGAACCUUACCAAGGCUUGACAUGCACGGCGGCACUGCAGAGAUGUGGUGGCAUUUAGUUGGUCGUGUGCAGGUGGUGCAUGGUUGUCGUCAGCUCGUGUCGUGAGAUGUUGGGUUAAGUCCCGCAACGAGCGCAACCCUUGUUUUUAGUUGCCUUUUAUGGAACUCUAAAAAGACUGCUGGUUAUAAACCGGAGGAAGGUGGGGAUGACGUCAAGUCAGCAUGCCCCUUACACCCUGGGCUACACACGUGCUACA